rnacentral:rRNA from 1 species
AUUGAACGCUGGCGGCAGGCUUAACACAUGCAAGUCGAGCGGAGAUGAGGUGCUUGCACCUUAUCUUAGCGGCGGACGGGUGAGUAAUGCUUAGGCAUCUGCCUAUUAGUGGGGGACAACAUUCCGAAAGGAAUGCUAAUACCGCAUACGUCCUACGGGAGAAAGCAGGGGAUCUUCGGACCUUGCGCUAAUAGAUGAGCCUAAGUCGGAUUAGCUAGUUGGUGGGGUAAAGGCCUACCAAGGCGACGAUCUGUAGCGGGUCUGAGAGGAUGAUCCGCCACACUGGGACUGAGACACGGCCCAGACUCCUACGGGAGGCAGCAGUGGGGAAUAUUGGACAAUGGGGGGAACCCUGAUCCAGCCAUGCUGCGUGUGUGAAGAAGGCCUUAUGGUUGUAAAGCACUUUAAGCGAGGAGGAGGCUACUGAGACUAAUACUCUUGGAUAGUGGACGUUACUCGCAGAAUAAGCACCGGCUAACUCUGUGCCAGCCGCCGCAGUAACAC